ACUUAACUGAGAAAAUAACGGAAUUGGGGGCGUGGUGCAAAAAUGUCAAUUUUUUUGGGUGCGCAGUGCAACAAGUCAAAUUUGUUGGGGACGCGGUGUAAAAUGUCAAUUUAUUUGGGGGUAGGUUACAAAUUUCCCUUUGAUUGUGCCCACACAGUAAGGUACGAUAUCCUAAAAAUAUUGUACCCCACAAUCUAGUCAACAUCAAAUAAUUAAGUUUUAUUAGCUUUUUGUUUAUUUGAUAAAAUGCAGAAUAUAUAGUAUGAUACCCAAAAAUGUCAUCCUAUAAAAUUCUGAAAAAUGGUGUUACGAGAAUAUACAACAUCCCAAAUUAGUUUUGCCAAUGAAAUAUGAAAAUGCACUUUUAAAUUAAUAAAUGCAUUUUGCAUAAAAAUUUUAGCAGCCAUGAGCCCAUGACCAUAGGUAGUCUAUCAUAUGACCAUCGGUGACCCUAUCAUGUUUCCGGAUGCUAAAAGUAAUUAAUUAUAAACUAUAAUCACAACAAACUUCGACGCACGUAGAUUAGACUGGUCAUUUAGCGGAUCUUUUCAAAGUCAACAUCAAGAAUUUUCUUCCCACCAAUCAUGAUUUAUUUAAUACAAAAUUUCAUUAAAAAAACUUAACGGUGGGUUUCCUUUUUUGUAGUUGGGGAAAGUGUUUUGUGGGUUAUAGUUUUUCUAUUGGAGGAUGAAACUUUUUUUACCUUGCAAAAAGGGAGAAAAAGGAAAAAGAAUUCUAGGUAAUUGUUCGGUCACUUUAUGUAAACGGUGGGUGCUAAUAAAUUUUAGAAUGAUUUAAUCGUUGUUUAAUUAAAAAAUCGACAAAUUAGAUUAAAUUGGAAGAGUCAUGCUAGAGUCACAAACGACAAAUUUUUCAUAUAAAUUGAUGUUUCAUUCAAUUACUAAUUAGAUGAAAGUAUAAAAUUCAAUGUAAUUAUUAAAAAUAAAUCUUGUGGACCCAUGAAACAUUCCAUACUCAAACACUAAAUUAUAUAAAGUUUGAAAGCGAUAACAAGAGGUGAUGUCAUGUGCAAGGAAUGCAACUAUUUUGUCUCUUUAGAUAAUUUGAAAAUCUAUUAAGAAUCUCAAUGAAUCUUAGUUGAACACUCUAAGUUCAUAUUAAAUAAAUGCUUUAAUAACAAAGAGUGAAUGUAGGGGAUGAUAUAAGAGGUUUAGAGUGAACCCCUCGCAUGAAAAAAAGAAACAAGAAAAAGAGGAGUUAUACAAUAGUUAUAUCUUGCACAUAUAAUAAGAUUAAAAAAAAAAAUUAAACAUAAAGAGUAUAAACAUGGAAACGAUAUAAGUGAUGUCAUGUCUAAGUAGAGUAAAUGCCCAUUUAGUGUUUAUAUUUUAAAUGAAGUGUCCGUUUAAUUUCUAUAUCGUAAAAAAUACCUUAAAGUACCUCAACAGUUAAAUAUGUUACAUUCUUACUAUCAUUUUUCAUUCCUUUACAAUAAUACCCUU
rnacentral:lncRNA from 1 species